rnacentral:sRNA from 1 species
GACGGCUGGUGAGUGAAAGCCGGGGCUAAUUUCCAAUGCCCCUUUAUUCUUCCUUCUCACCAUCUUGCCGGUCCCCGAGGAGCCUUCUGGCGUCGGCAUGGAACGGAGAGGCCGGUCCUAGGCGAAGUCCGGUGCCCUGCCCUACCCCUCUGCCAGCUGGGUGCCCCCUGCCUGCCUGGUUCUGCCCAAGGGACUGGGGCGGGACUCCCAAGGAGAGGGGUGUCAUCCAGGUGCUGGGCCUCAGAACGGUCCUCCUGUGUCGUCUGUCAGUCUCCAAAGUGUGCUGGAGUGGGUGGCUUCAGGGCUGGGUUUGGCCGGAGUCCUGGCUGUGGGAGUUGGAGUAGGCUGAAGAAGGAAGUUUGUUGGAUGCGGAUCUGAGUCCCUGAAAUACAAUGUGAAGAAAAGACGUUUUGAAAUGACCACUGCGACCUUCGCCUGAGGGUUCAGAGGUUGACCCGAGGAGAAUCCCUCCCACGUAGUUGGGAAAAAGAUCUUGAAGAAGCUCUGGAAGCAGGAGGUUGUGAUCUUGAAACGUUGAGAAAUAUAAUUCAAGGAAGACCGCUGCCUGCUGAUCUGAGGGCCAAAGUUUGGAAGAUUGCUCUGAAUGUUGCAGGAAAAGGUGAUAGUUUGGCAUCAUGGGAUGGUAUUUUAGACUUGCCAGAACAGAACACUAUUCACAAAGAUUGCCUGCGGUUUAUUGACCAGCUUUCAGUGCCAGAGGAGAAGGCAGCAGAAUUACUUUUGGAUAUUGAAUCUGUAAUUACCUUUUAUUGUAAAUCACGUAACAUUAAAUAUAGCACAUCCCUUAGCUGGAUACAUCUACUGAAACCAUUGGUGCAUCUUCAACUGCCACGCAGCGAUUUAUACAACUGCUUUUAUGCCAUAAUGAAUAAGUACAUUCCCAGGGAUUGUUCCCAGAAAGGGAGACCAUUUCAUCUCUUCAGGUUACUCAUCCAAUACCAUGAGCCUGAGCUUUGUUCUUAUCUUGAUACAAAGAAAAUUACUCCAGACUCCUAUGCACUCAACUGGCUUGGAAGUCUUUUUGCAUGUUACUGUUCCAUUGAAGUCACUCAGGCAAUAUGGGAUGGAUAUCUACAACAAGCAGAUCCAUUUUUUAUUUAUUUCUUAAUGUUAAUUAUCCUUGUUAAUGCAAAAGAAGUUAUUUUAACACAAGAGUCAGACAGCAAAGAAGAAGUUAUCCAGUUCUUGGAAAAUACUCCAUCCAGUCUGAAUAUAGAAGAUAUAGAAGACCUUUUCUCUCUGGCUCAGUAUUAUUGCAGCAAAACACCGGCUUCUUUUAGGAAGGAUAAUCACCAUCUCUUUGGUAGUACUUUGUUGGGAAUUAAGGAUGAUGAUGCAGAUCUGAGUCAGGCUCUUUGUCUGGCCAUCUCCGUGUCAGAGAUCCUUCAAGCGAAUCAGCUACAAGGGGAAGGAGUCCGGUUCUUUGUGGUGGAUUGCCGUCCUGCAGAACAAUAUAAUGCUGGACAUUUAUCAACUGCUUUCCACUUAGAUUCAGACCUGAUGCUCCAGAAUCCAUCUGAGUUUGCACAGUCAGUAAAAUCCUUGCUGGAAGCACAGAAGCAGUCCAUUGAGUCUGGCUCCAUAGCUGGUGGGGAGCACCUCUGUUUUAUGGGCAGUGGCAGGGAGGAAGAAGACAUGUAUAUGAACAUGGUCCUGGCACACUUUUUACAGAAAAACAAAGAAUAUGUGAGUAUUGCCAGUGGAGGAUUUAUGGCACUGCAGCAGCACCUGGCAGACAUUAAUGUGGAUGGACCAGAAAAUGGAUAUGGCCAUUGGAUUGCUAGUACCUCAGGCUCAAGGAGCAGUAUCAAUUCUGUUGAUGGUGAAUCUCCUAAUGGCUCAAGUGAUAGAGGAAUGAAAUCACUAGUAAAUAAAAUGACUGUGGCUUUGAAGACAAAAUCCGUUAAUGUCAGGGAAAAAGUUAUCAGUUUUAUAGAGAAUACAUCAACUCCUGUGGAUCGGCAUGUGAGCAGCAGUGACAGAGUGGGCAAGCCUUACCGUGGCGUAAAGCCUGUUUUCAGCAUUGGGGAUGAAGAAGAAUACGACACAGAUGAAAUUGACAGUUCUUCAAUGUCAGAUGAUGAUAGAAAAGAGGUUGUAAACAUUCAGACUUGGAUAAACAAGCCAGAUGUCAAACAUCAUUUUCCUUGUAAAGAAGUAAAAGAAAGUGGACACAUGUUUCCCAGUCAUCUGUUGGUUACUGCAACACAUAUGUACUGUUUAAGGGAGAUUGUUUCACGGAAAGGAUUGGCUUAUAUACAGUCUCGACAAGCGCUGAAUUCUGUAGUUAAAAUUACAUCCAAAAAAAAACAUCCUGAACUCAUUACCUUCAAGUAUGGAAAUAGCAGUGCUUCAGGAAUAGAAAUCUUGGCAAUCGAAAGGUAUUUGAUUCCAAAUGCAGGGGAUGCAACUAAAGCCAUAAAACAGCAGAUCAUGAAAGUUUUGGAUGCUUUGGAAAGUUAAUAUAAAAGAAAAUUAUAUAAAAAGAAAUUAAGACAACCAAGAGAAACAUGGACAUAUACCUCCUGACUGAAUACUAACUGGAGACCUUUCAUUUGCUCAUGGGGCUGCUUAAAUAGCAGGUCUAAGAAAGUGUAAAUUAUUAUAAUCAAUCUGUGGACAGUAAACUUUUUAAAAAUUUUUCUUUUGCAUUUUGGUUUUAUAAAAUGAUGUAUUAUAAAGGUCAGUUAUUAAAUUACUUUGAAGUAACUGACCCUGUGCCCUUAUGGACUAAGUAAGGGUACAGAAUGCAGUUCUGUUUUGAAGAGCUGUUUUAAGGGAACAUGCAUCACUUUCGGGUUCAAAAACAACUGUACACAUACAUAUCUGCAGUGUCUUCACUGAAAAUUAGAGAUAGAAUUAGUUGAAGAGACUUCCUUAAUUGCUACAUUGUUUUACUCACUGAGCAAUAUCAGAAACUAAAAACAUAGGUUAAUAAUUCACUCACUGUUUCUAUUCUUCUUAAAAAGAGUGAAAUUUUUUUAAUGGAAUGGUUGAAGAUUCCUGCCAACUCAAAAUACAGUACAGCUAGUAAAAUGUUGAAACAUCAGUUUCUAAAUCACCUUUGCUCCAAUAGCUAAUUUUUUGGACACUAAAUGCUUCAAAGAUAAGAAACUUCAUCCUAAUGAUUUCUAAAGAGCAGUUAAAAGCAUUAAAAUAAGUAGGUAGGCUGUUAAGAUUAAAAUUAACAUUUUGGGGACAGAAUUGUGUCUGUAAAAAUGUCAUUGGUUUUUAUUACAAGUGGAUUAUUUUAUUCAUAUUUUAAAACAAGUGUUUAAGCCACAUUGAUUUAUCCUCAUUGAGGAUUAUGGUCUGUAACCACAGUAAUAUCCACUUAUAUAAAUGCCAAAUAAUCAGAGAGCUUAUAAAGUACAAUUGUUUUUGUCAUCAUUUUCUGAAGUUCUUUCUCUUCUUUUGGUUUUGUCCUCUCAUUGAAGUUCCAGUGGUUUGAAAUUAGUUUUGGACACAUUGUCUUAAUGUACUGAAAAUGGCUCUGCUGUAUUUUGCAGCGUUUUUCAUUUAAUUUAUAAUGGUCCAUAUUAGACACAUUUGGUAAGAGAAGUCCAGGAACACAUUUAGGGCUAUGGAAUAAUAUUUUGUAAAAUCCAUUUGGGAAGUUGCAAUACCCACAAUCUGACAUGUCCUAAAAUGUAAGGGAUUAUCUCUAAGGGGUUGAUGGGAGAAAUAUUUAGAUGUACCCUGUUAACGGCCAGUCAUUUUGAUUUACUUAUGGAAAUCAAGUGAAUAAAAGGCAACAUAAUUUGGGAAAUUUUAUUCUAAUAUCUAAUAAAAACAGUUUGAGUGGUUGAAGACAUCUGCAUGAAAUUGCACCUGGGUGUAUUACUUGAUAUAACUCUCCCCUAAAACUGUUGUAAUUGCAUUUUUUCCCUUUUCUUGGCACCCCUUUAGAAAUGUACUGAAGUCUCAUUUUUCACCCAUUUCAGCCAUGGGACAUUUUUCAUAAUAUUAAUGUAAAGAUGUUUGUGUUACUGUUUAUAAAUUACAAUUGUAAAUAAAUUAAUAGUUUGCCCAAAA